UUUCCCGCUAAUCAUUGUCCCCCAGGGAACACAGGCACAGCCUGGGCAAAGAUUAUGAUGCUAAUUUGGUUCCAAAUAACCGAUUUUCUAAAAGAAAAGAAAGAGAGACGUGGAGGAAGGGAAGAGAGAAGAGAGAAAAGACCAGUUAUUUGCCCAGGCAAAGCCCACUCUGGUUUCUGAAGCUCUGUGGAAGCUAAUUGCAAUGCUUGAUUAAAAUGUCCCAUCUCCCUAGAUCAGCACAUCCCAUCCUGCCUCUGGCUCUGGGCUUUGCUCGCCCCAGAGAGGGUAACACUGCCUUUGGAUCUUUCUUGUAUGGCUUUCCCCCUGCACAACUUCCAGGACCACAUGAGUUCUCGUAAGGAAAUACAAGUCCACCCCCAGCUUUGACAGGUGAAGCCCUCUGGAAGGCUGGCUGUGUGGUAGGAGCCAGGAUGACACUGAGAUGUCCUUCCAAAUCAGGACCCGAACAGCUGAGGAGCUCCAGUUACCCAAGAA